GCUUUUAUCCUACUUUGGAUAAAAGGAACGGAUAAACUUUGAUACAAUGCUUGCUUGCACUCACUCACCGAAUCACACACAACAAUAUGUUUUAUAACACCAAGUUACUAGUGCGUUUACAUAUUAUCAAUGUGCAACCGAUUUGCAAGAUACAACUCACACAUCUCGGUUUCAAGAAUAUAAGAUGUUAUCGUCUCACCAAUCACUCGUGAUACAAUUCAUGGAGUGAUCCAAGUGAGCGUGGGUUUAAUCCAAUGCUCAAAUCACAUUCAUAAGCACUCAUGAACGUUGCAGCAAACAUUUGCUUAUGUCUAAUGCUCUUUAGACAAUCCACACACCAAUUCACGACAGUCUUCAUUCAUAUCUACUUCCAACAUAUGAAUGACUGUGGCCCGUUUGAAUAAUUCGAUUAUUCUUAAUAAACUCAAUUAUUCUGGAAGUCAAAACAUGCAAAGUGAAACACAAGAAUAAUACUAAUCCCAUAUGGCCUCAAACCUUUGAGUAUAAAUAAAACACCUUUUAUUUAUCACCAUAUUGAUUACUCAUUAUUUGUCGUUUCGGGUAAUCAACUUCUUACUUGAAUUCCAACACUUGUCCCAUGCUCCUAGCAUGCACACAAUGUUUACCUAUGGUUCUUACUUUUGUGAAAUAGACCAAUUGAACACAUUUCCAAUCUUUCUCAUUUUACAACUCCAAAUCCUUUUUCAUAAGUGUAAGAAUAUCAAAUUCUUGCUACUUAUAGAAUAUGCUAGAUUCUAACACUUUAUGCAACGAUCCUUUCGUAAUGUCACUGCACCAAAGUCACAAAGACUAUUGCAAAUGAUAUUACAAAGUCCUCUAUCGGAGAUUGUUACAAGACAAUUCCUUAGAUAUGAUGUCUCUCACUCAAAGUACAUUCCUUUGAACAUCCUUUUGCACAAAAGUUUCUAAUCUAGUCUUAGAUUUUCAAUAUUUACUUCCCAAUAUGGACACGCUUCCAUAUUUUCCAUAUGACAACUUAUUCUUAAUAGAAUCUUAUCUAUUCCUAAUGAUGUCGAUAUGGUCCAUCCAAUACCAUGCUUCUAACUACUCACAAGCGACCAAUCCUCGUCGAACUUUGGAUUGUCCUUUGAUAAUUGUUUAAUUAUUUUAAUCAAAACCGAUUCUAAUCCCUUUUCCCUCUAAAUGUGCUAGACAUUAGGAAAAUUUUAGAAUGGUCAAACAUUAAAGCAUUUGCAAUCGAUCCUAUACCCGAAGCGUAUGGGACACGACGCAUAAUGUUUUAUUUGCUAUGUUCUCAAAAUUCGAAUUGUGAAGAGGAAUGCCAUAAUCAUAAUCGAAAUUUUAAGAACACACUAUGUACCCUUGACUAAGUUUACUAACAUUUCUCAACCUAAUCCUUCAGAUUUGAAAUGAAGCAUAAUAUUCUCUCCCUUAAUUAUAGCAAAACAACCUUUCAACUCUUACAACUUUGCAAGAUAUGACUCUUGUUUUCUAUAAUUAAUAUUGCUAACCUUGCAAUAGUUGCCUUAAUCAUCAUACAAUCAUAACUAUUGCUAACCUUGCAAUAGUUGCCUUAAUCAUCAUACUAUCAUGAUGAUUAUUAUAAAACAUAACACUUAUGCUCCCACUAGCUUCGACAUGUAUUCAUAAACAUCUUGAGCUUCAAAAAUCAAUACUUAUUGAAUUUUUUUAAGUUCAUGUUUUUAAUGCUUUGAUAAUCUUUUAUCAAGACCUUUUGAACUUAUACACCUUUGCCUUCGAUAGUUCAUAUGUGUGCUUAAACACUUAAGACUAAUUGCCAAACCUCACAAUUCAAAUUAUUGGAAAGGGAUACUGUAACCAUAAUUGAAUUCGAGAAUGCAAUUUUACAAUCACUAUCUUCUUAAAAUCUUUCUUAGUGAAAGCAUUUCCUCACAAUCAUUUUCAUGAAGGAGGAAAUCUUAUGACACUUAGAUUUAAACGGUGUAUGUGUUCCUAUCCAUGUGAAUUUGUUGAAACCAAAGUUUACGACAAAUUCAAACUCAUAUGGACCGAACUUUCUUAGUCUUGAUUUCUUACCUUAUGGUAGCACAGCUGCCCACCAUGUCUUCCAAGUAGUUAAGCAGCUCACCCUUUCCUAUCAAUGUACCUUUCAUUGAUUAAGGUGCUUUGCCUUUUAUGCGUUCAAAAUGAGAACUCAUAGAUCUCUCAUGCAUAAUUAACUCGUUUGGAUUGGCACAGAAUCAAAAUAAUGUCAACACGAUAGGUUGUAAACCUCAACUCGUGUGCUAGUGAUGAUCGAUAAGGUUUAUUUGAUUUGUUCUUGAAACCUUUCAAGACCAUUAAGACUCCCACUGACUCCUUGACAUAUAAGAUUCUCUUGUCAAUAACCAUUUCUUGACAAACAAAUAUUCAAGAGUUAGUGUAGCUUUUAUCAAAACACUUCAUAAAUUGGUCCUAGUUGGUCUUUGUCUUAUCCAAGACAUCACAACUUUCCACAUUUGAUGAAUGUUAUAAACCUUCUUAAUACUUUUCACUCAAUGUCACAAUCUUAACUUUAAGACUUGUUUUGGAACGAAGUAUGAUUGACUUCUUGAUUUAACCAUUUCUUCAAUUCUUGAUUCCUCUUCUUAGACAUACAAUUGUACUAAGACUCACUUAGAGGAUCAAUUGAGAUAUGGUUCUUAAUCAUUAAGACCUAUCAUAAAGCAUAAAAGGUACUCUCCCUUCUUCUUAGAAUGGAGAAACUUUUAUCUUUCUGCCUACUUGAUUCUUCUUAUUCGUUCUGCUAUUGAUUUAAACCUUUUAAUCAAUUCAGAAUUACACUUAAUCUUGUAAGUAUAAUCAUAUUUACUAAACCUUUAGUAAAUCAUGACGAAUAUCUUUGUUACUCUUAUGGUGGACUUGAUCAACACGCAACUUUGUGUACUCGAUCUCCUAGUCCUUCACUUGACACUUUGUCAAUGAAUUAGUCUAAUUUCCAAAUAUGAAAUUUCUCAUUCAUCGUGCAACCAAGUUGCAUGAUUCCAAGUUUCUGUCCAAUUGAAACUUGGGCGAUGAGAAACUCUCCCUAUUUGGUAAAUUCUCGACUUUCCAUAAAUAACAUAAUAAGAACCAAAUCCAUUAUUGCUAAUAAUAGAAACAUUCAAACAUCAAUUUUUCAUAUACGCCAUUGCAAGGAUAAAUAAAUAAUAUAAAAUCAAAAUUUAUUUUAUUGCGGAAAAAUUUUGUCCUUACAAUGCAAUUCAUUGAAAAACUAUGCUAAUACAUCUUUCUUAGCAAUCUAAUUCUAACUCUAAGUAGUAGCUCAAGAAUCUAAUCUUCGAGAAAUGCGAUCGAAAUCCAUUCCUUCACGGUUAGAUUCUGCUCACUUCUUCCCUUAAGCUUCCUUUCUUUUCUUCGAUCCUACAAAACAUCAAUUGUAAUCUUAUCACAUUAUGUAUUAAGAAUCUAGAAUAGAAGCUUAAAAGAGUUAGUUAAUGGAUUUUACCUAUAUUAGAGCCAUACGUUUCGACUCUCCCAUCUCUUAGAUCUCUUAGGUAAAUGGGGCAGCUUCGUCUCCAAUGCCCUUUCUCUUGGCAAUAAAAGCAAAUUGACUCUUUUGGAACAUGACAUGGAACUACUUCAGACAUUGCCUUUCUCUUAUGAUCAAACUUUUCGAUCAUAGCAUGUCUUUCGUUGCCAUUGUCUAUAUCCAUAGAGGUCUUGAAGGCAGAUUCACCAAUCAACUUUGCUUUUCUAUUGCGCCAAACCAUUGCUGAUUCAGCAGCAAUAAGCAUAUAGGUGAGAUCUAUAAGGGUCACGUCGCGGUUCAUCAUAUAGUACUCUCUUACGAACUCACUAUAUGAGUUAGGAAGUGACUGAAGAACCCAAUCAACAGCCAUUUCCUCACAGACAACGGAUCCCAACAUUCUUAACCUAUCAAUGUGUGACUUCAUCCCUAGGACGUGUGCACACACCGACUUUCCUUCUUUAUGUUUACUUGCCAAAAGGGCUUGAGUGAUCUUGAACUUUUCAAGCCUUUGAACUUGUGGGUUAGGGAGAAUAAUUGGAGGAGGUGGAGGAAGUGAAGCAUGAUUUCUUGUUCCUCGAUCGAAUCGUGGAAUAUCAUCUUCAUGUGGAAUGCUUGUUCCACGGGAUUUGGGAAGACCAUAGUUGUCGAACUUUGACAUCUACAAAACGGGAGAAAACGAAUUCAAGUUAGUUGAUUGAUUGAGUCCUUAGUAAAUCACCCAAAUGAGAUACUAAGGCUAGGACCCAACACAAUAUUCUACAACUCGGGAGAGGGAUGCCGUAACCCUAAUUGCAGAAUAUUUGAAGGUAAGUGAAUGACGAUUCACUAAUUUCCACCACGAAAAACGAAAAAGAAAUUUAAGUUUUAAAUCUAUGAAAACUCCUAGAUCCUUUGAGAUUCAUUGAACUUUCAAUGACAUGUUUAAAUCUCGAUAUACCCCUCUUGUUUGUGACUGGGAUGCCGAGGAUCAGAAAGUGGGUGUGAAUAACCAUGCAAACUUACAUGGUGCCCUCAUGUGCCGGUAAACCACACACGCUCCACCGAACUAUGACAAACAUUGAGUCACCCUUUGCUACCUUUGCUUAGAACCAUUUAGUGUGCCGGUAAACCACACACGCUCCACUAACGUCUUCGCAAGGGCACAAAGUGUAAUUUCAUGGAAUUGCAUCAAUUCACUUUUGCCUAAGUAACUAAGAUUGGGAAUUUUAUGAAAACAUUUAGUUACUUUAAUAAUUCAUUAUACUUAUAAUGGAAGGUUUCGUCCUAUCCUACCCGUUCGGCUAACGACCCUCCACUAGUCAAGAGUGCGGUGGGUAAGAGUGGAUACCCAUUCAAUCGCCAUUUUAUAGGCAAUUUCCUUAAACACCCCUUAUAGACCAGCUUCGUGAAUGAGGCCUACUAACGGUAAGACUGACUUUUACUCAUACAUAUAUAUAAUGUUAGACUUUUAAUGUUAUAUAUAGUAUAGGGUGUAUUUUAUACUUUUAAAAUACUAGGUGGUCUAAUUUAACAAUUAUACUUUUAAUUCAAUUAAAUUGUAAACCUAAACUUUUAUGGAUUUAUUAAACCUCUUUUAAUUAUACACCUUAAUUAAUUAAUAAAACCAUAAGGGUGUGAUUUGAACUUUUUCAAAACUAUACUAGAGUUUUAGAAUUUAACAUUCCUAAUUAAACUUUUAAUCAACUUUUAAAUUCCAAAACUUGAGGGCAAGUUUUGAAACAUUUCAACACAUUAGGGUUUAGAAUUUAAAUAUGCAUCAAAAUUAAACUAUUUAAUCAAAAUUUAAAUUCCAAAACUUGAGGGCAAGUUUUGAAACCUUUUUCAAAACAUUAGGGUUUCAACUAUUUAAAUUUCAAAACAACAAAACUUUUGGGGUUCAAAUUUAAACUAUAAAACCUAAAGGGCCAAAUAUGAAACUUUUCACAACAACAAGGAUCAAAUAACAAAUAAUUCAAAUUAACAUUUAAUCACAUAAUUAUCCAUAUUUGAUGAUUUCUUGCAAAAUAAUUUAUCAAUUUACUUAAAAUAAUUAAUCAAUUAUCUUAUAAGGAAACAAUUAUCUUAUUAAUUGAUAAAUAUCUUCAAUUAGAUUAAAAAUAUAGUCAAAUAUAUCAUAUAAUCGGAUUAAUAUUAAUCUAACAUGAUAAGGUAAUUAUCCCAAUGCAAAAACAGCAAGAAAUCCCGAGAUAAGCACUGUCUGACGCACCGACUCGCCGAGUCACCCUCUGGAACUCGCCGAGUAGGGCUGACUCGCCGAGUCCAAGAGUGACUCGCCGAGUCAGGUCGAACAGUGAGGCCAAAACACGAUUUUCAGUUACAUCAAGCAUCAAUACAAUAGAAACCAAUCAUGGCUCUGAUACCACUGAUGGGUUUUGGUCAUAAGACAUCCUAUGUGCUCAUACAAACCCUAAAGCUUGGAUCUAGGUUUCUCUAUUGUACAUACUUUGAAUCCAAGACUAUGAACCCUAAUUCUAGCAUAUGGAAAUCAGAAUUCACAUGUAAUUAGGUUUAAGAACAUACCUUGAUUGUUAUAUAGCAAUAACAAUCCAAUUCCUCCUUGAAUUGACCUUGGAAAGCUGAGAGUCACAAGUGUCACUCCUCUAAUGGCUUACAAACACCAUAAGCAAGUGGAGAAGGUAUAAAGAGAGAGGAGGGAGGUUAGAAUUCGUCCUUAGGACCUCUUGGGAAGGGUUGGACGAAUUCCUAAGCCUUAGGGGGUUUAUAUAGGUGUAAAGAUUAGGGUUUUAGUCCUUAUCCUUAUCUAGUUGCUUGUCCACCAAGCAACCAUAAGAUAAGUCCUAGAAAUCCUUAUCCUAGUCGAAUUCUAAGGGAUUUACACCUCAAAUUCGUUCACCAUAUAUAUAAGAUAAUCCUUACCUUAUUUUGUAACUAUCACAUAAUUACAAUUCAGCCCCUCUAGUUUAAUUAAUUACACUUGAUCACAAAAUUAAUUCUUAAUUAAUUAUUGACCAAUAUUAAUUAAACAAAUAUGAUUUCUCCUUUAAUAUAUUAUUCUUAUACCAUAUUAAUAAAUCAUAAUAACCUCUCUCUCUUUAUUUAUUUCUCCAAUCAAGUUGCUUUGGUGAAGGCAACCCAAAAGGACCAUGCACCAUCGGGUCAAGUACAUACCAAAAUAGUUAUGGACUUAGAUACUAAUCCAACAGUGAAAGAUCCACAAAGUGUCGAGGCUUAAAAAUACCAUCCAUUGAGAGAGUUACCAUGGAAUGGCCCGAAGCGGAAGGUUGGGAGAGCGUGACAGGAGGAGUAGGCGACAAUGGUGAUGGUGGAUCAUUAAGAACAGGAGAAGGCGAGGGUUGCUCAUUCAAAAUAGGGGUUGCAUGUGAGGAUGGGUCAAUACAUAAUUCACACGAGGGAGUGAAAGUUGGUUUUGGAACCGGAAAUGUAGUUUGCAGAUGAGAUGGUGGGAUAGGCACUGGAUGGUCAUCAGAAUAGGUAGACAAAAAUAAUGUGACCCGAGAAGUUUUAUGUUGAUGACCUUGAAAUGGAAAAAGAUUCUCAUCAAAUUGAGCAUGAAGAAUUAUGUAGAGCUGUUGUGUAGAUGGAUCAAAGCACUUAUAUCCCUUGUAUUGCGUGUUGUAGCCAAGAAAAACACUUUGAACACUUAUGGGAGCAAGUUUAUGAGAAGAAUAAUCCCGGAGAUAUGGGAAAACACAACAUCCAAAAACACGAAAUUUGCCAUAAUUGGGUGUUAAGGAAAAUAACAGUUCAUAAGGUGACUUGUUGUCAAGUAGCGUUGUGGGCAGUCAAUUGAUAAUAUAAGCAGCAGGACUAAAUGGAUGUGUCCAAAAAGUAGCAGGAACGUGAGCAUUAAACAUGAUGGAUAAACCGAUUUUAGUGAGAUGUCGAUGCUUAGGUUCGGCACGUCCAUUCUGUUGAAGAGUACAGGGACAUGAAAGUUGAUGAUGUGUACCAUUACUAGAAAGGAGAUUGUGCACUUGGUUGCUUGUGAAUUCUAUCCCACCAUCUGAUUGAAAGGUCUUAAUUUUUGAAAAAAAAUUAUGUUUGAACCAGUGCAACAAAAGCAUUGAAUACAUUGUAAAAAUCGAAUUUUGCUUUCAUGGGAUAGAACCAUGUGAGUCUAGAAUAAUCAUCAAUGAAGAUAGCAUAAUAUCGAAGUCCAUCACUAGACACAACAGGAGGGCCCCAUAAAUCAUAAUGAAUUAAAUCCAACACAUGCAUAGAAUGUUUUAAAUUAAGAUUAAAAGACAAUCAUUUGCUUUUUGCUAAUUGACAAGAAGAGAAAAUGCGUGGGGUUGGUAAAACCUAAGUCAGGGAUAAACAACCCCAAUUUAUUUAAAACAGGAAAAAUGUCAUUGGAAACAUGACCCAAUCGACUAUGCCAUAGAUCAAAAAAGGCUUUAAGGCGUCUGGAAGAGAGUGGAAGAAAAAAGCUUGUUGUCCCUGCUCAAGAACAUAUAAACCGUUUCUACGUCUUCCUUGAGCUAGUGUUUCCUUGGAGUGUCGGUUCAUAAUAAAAAACAUAGGACCAGAAAACACAACAUCAACUUGAUUAUCUUGGGUGAGCUUGCUAACUGAAAGCAGGCUUUUGGUGAGCUUAGGAACCACAAGGACAUCAAGUAAAGAAAUAGUAGGAGAGAUGUGAGAUCUACCAAUAUGAGAAAUAGGAGCACUAUGACCAUUACCAAAAACAAUAUAUUCAUUACCAGAUAUUGAUGAAGUAGCAUCAAGGUGAGCAGAAGUGGGAUUCAUGUAUGCUGAUGCUCAUGUAUCAACAAACCAAUCAGGAGUAGAAGUCUUAUAGUGUGCAUGAAAAAAGGCUUCAACAAGAUUUUCAUCUCGAGUUGAGGAUUUCUGAGAGAAGGUAUGUAAAUCAGGACAUUGACUUGCGUAAUGCCCUUCCCUCCGGCAUAACUAGCUAUGAGGUGGUCGUUUAUUACCACGACCUCUACCCCUAUUGGAGUAACCAUGAGAGGAAGAUCUGCCACCACCACGUGAGGAAUCAUAAUGGGUGCAAGAGGUGGUGGUGUUGAAAGCAACAUGAUCAACAAGAAAGUCAGUAAUAGAUUGAAGAAACAUCUCGUGACUCUCAGCUUGGGAGAUGAGAUCACGAACCUUAGGCCUCGGGGUAAUAAGACACUAGGUGGUGGAGAAGGUUUCAAAGGUGAAACCAAGACCUCAAAUAAACUAGUGUGCUUUGUCAUCUUUAGAAAGUGGGUGACCAAUAGCUUGAAGUUGAUCAAAAAUGCCCUUGAAUUUACGAGAAAUUUCAGAAACAGUAGUAGAGCCUUUCUUAAGUUGACGAAGAGACUCAGUAAGCGUGUGAGUUCACUCAAGAGAGUUAUGUUGAUAGAUGGCUACAAGAGCAGACCAGACAGCGUGAGAGGUGCUGUGACCGAGGGUCUCGGUCGUUGCCUCUUCAGAUAGAGAGGAUUGAAUGAAGAUCAGGGCUCGUUGUGUAACAUCCCAAGAUUCAAGGCUAAAAAUUUCAUUUUUUAAUUAGGUUAUUAUAACACCAACUGUAUAAGAAAACAUUCAUAAUAACAUAUCAUGUCAAGUAGUACUUCAAUAAUCAAACAUGUUAUCAUAAAGUAAUAUCAUAGUGAAAUCCCAAGGAUCUCUUUUGCGGAAAACAUAGUGUGAUGCACUGCGAUCAAGCCGACUCCUUUCCUUACCUGAAACCAAAAUUGAAAACCAUAAGCACGAAGCUUUGUGAGUUCCCCCAUCAUACUACGUACCAUACAGUCACAUAUUGCCAAGCAUAUAUGGUUUGCUUGACCUACCCUGCCGAGCAUACCGGGGUACCGGACCUACCUCAUGUCAAGCAUAUAUGGGUGCCCGACCUACCCCUUCCGUAUCUUUCAACCGGUAACCGAGAGCUUGCCUCGCCUUCGAUAUCUUUCAACCGGUAACCGAGGAUUAUUUCACCCCUACCACUAUCACAUAAAAGCAUAGCAUAAACAAAUAAAUCACAUACUGCCUAGCAUAUCUGGGUGCCGGCCUACCCCUUCUGUCCUGUUGACCGGUAACAGGGGACUAUUUCACCCCCUACUACCAUUAUGACAUAACAUCAUAUCAUGCUAGCACAUAAACAUAACAAGUAGUAGAAAACAUAGACAAUUAUCACAAAGACAAUCAUCCAACAACAACUCCUAUUGGUGGGCCGACAUUGUGGCCAUAGACCCACCCCUACUAGAAGGUAACUCAUCUCACACUGCUGAAGUCUCGUAGACACAAACCCAGCUGCUGGAUGACAGGUUCCCGAACUGUCAAUCAUCAAAAUAACACCCAAUUAAUAUUUGGGUUCCUACACAAAAAUCAUAAGUCCAAACUUAGGGUAAAAGAUGGCUUUACCCCUAUCUUAGCUUGAUUCAACUCAAGGCCCAAAAGUUAAACUAUGAAUCAAAGCCUAACAUAUGGCCCAACUUUCCAAAGUGGGCACAAACCUUUACAUGGUCUUAUUCUAUGGCCCAACCAUUUAGUCCAGUCCAACCAUUUGGCAUUUCUAAUGACCCAACAUCUCAUAAUCAUGAAGUGUAACAUCCCAAAAAUACAACCCAAAAUUUUUUGUUUGAACGUUAUUAAAAACCACAACAUCGAAUGUUAUAUAAUAAAACCAUGCAUCAUAUGUCUCAAAAUGCCAUAAUAAAUGUAUCAAAUCAAAACUGAAGUUAAUAUCGUAUCGAAACAUUUGAAUAAAACUCCCAUGAUAAAACUGUAACUGUGGUGUGUGCCAUGUCAUCAUCCCGUGCUCUUCCCUUUGCUAGCAGAAGUACCUGAAAGCAAAACUGAAAACUGUAAGCACGAAGCUUAGUGAGCUCCCCCAAACUACCACAUACCGUACAGUAACAUAUAGAGCACAUAUUGGGCCUUGCCCAUUGCAUCGGACCGAAAUCUGGAAACUAUAUCGGACCGAAGUCCGGAAACUGCAUUGAAACAAUGUCCGGAAACUAACCAGGGCCUUGCCCUCUGCAUCGGACCGAAGUUCGGAAACUGCAUCGGACUAAAGUCCGGAACACAUAACACAAAGACAUGCUUGAAUCACAAAGACAUCAAGCAUAGUGAACUACUGCAUCGGACCGAAGUUCGGAAACUGCAUCGGACUAAAGUCCGGAACACAUAACACAAAGACAUGCUUGAAUCACAAAGACAUCAAGCAUAGUGAACUACUGCAUCGGACCGAAGUCCAGAACUACUACUGACUAAACGGGAUGGCAUUGUGGUCGUAGACCUGUUCCUACUAGAAGGAAGACUCACCUCGUAACGCUGGCUACUGAGGUGCUAAAUCUGAAACUGUUUGACUGCUGCUCCGGAACUCCCCGGCUACAAACUCCAUAAACAAUAAAUCAAAUACAGAUAACUAAUGUUAGGGUAAAAUGACCAUUUUACCCCUGCUAUGGUGUGGGUUUCAAACAUGGCCCCAAACCCUUAAUUUCUUCUAUGUCCAUCAAUGACCCCCUAGAGGCCCACUAAUGAUCCAAUUUUCUAUAUUGGGCCUAAAUCCCUUUAUUGGGCCUUACCCUAGGCCCAACACCUAUACUUGGCCCAUAUUCACAGGCCCCUAAUGUCCCAUAAGGCCCAAAGGCUCUAAGUCCGAAGCACAACCCACACCGAGACCCAAUUGCUCAAAGCCCAAUCUGGCAGCGUACGCGGGGCGUACCUCUAGGGACGCUGAGCGUACCGGCUGCUGGCUUGUACGUCGUGCGUACCUCCUUGUACGCUCAACGUACAGCCCUGUUAAGCCAACUUCCUAUUAAGUACUUAAUCCAUCGAUUUAGAAGCUACAAAUUCAUAUCCACGUCUUAUUCUAUGUCCUAAGCCAUAAAGUUGCUUACUUGAUGGCUUGGAUGGCUUAAAGAGGCUCAAACUUCAAAAAGCAAUAUCCUAACUCCAUAGAAAUGGUUAUAUCUCAUUCAUGGCCUCAUGGAAACCUCAAAGAUCAAAACUUUAUUGCUAAGAAGGUGUUUUGAGCCUAAAGGAUGGCAAUCCCAAGCUCAAAAACGAAUCUUCAUGAUCAAGGUCCAACCUUUGGACCUAAAGAUGUCCAAAACUUCAAUAGCUCUAGAUCUAGCAUAUGAGGAAGAAAGUUCAGUGCUUUAUACAUUCUUUUGGUGACAAAGAGUGAGUCUAGUCUAGAUCUCCGAGCUCAAGCUUCUUUUCCAACCUUUGCUUUCUUCUUCACAACUUCUUCCUCACUAAAAACUCUCACAAAGAGCAAAAUCACACAAAAGAGAGAGUAAGGACGUGCUAGGGUUUUCUUGGGGGUGAGGAGACUGGUAAUAAUCUAGAGGGAGGCUAUAAAUGGGGUUUAUAUAGGUCUUAAACCCUUAAAUUAGGGUUUUCUUAUCUGCUCACUUACGCUGCACGUACCUAGUGGUACGCUGCGUGUAAGUGUGCACGUCCCCGAUUCCAACUGCAGUCCGGUAAGCCCCGCGUACGUCUUAUGGGCGGCCCAAGACUUGGCCCAAGUGCAUAAAUCCAAAUCCAAUACUCUUUUUCUUCUAUACUAGGCCCAACUAUAAUUUAAGAAAAAUUAUAUAAUUAAUACCUCGAGAGACGGACGUUACAUGAAGGCCCAAUUAUGGCUCACCUAUGGCCCAAUUUUCCAAAUUGGGCCCAACCACUCAUAUGGGCCUUACCCUAAAGCCCAUCAACAUAUUCUAGUCCAUAUGAUUAUUCUUGGAUGACCAAUUAAUAAUCCAAUUACCAAAGCCCAAUGGAAAGGCCCAACUCAAUACCCAAUUUAAAAUUAGGGUGUCUUGCAUGAAAUGAUGAUUAUGGUUAAGUGCCCCUGCUUAACCCAUUAAGGACUUAAUCCAUGAAGUCCCACAUGGCCUUAGGUUAAUUGCAACUGGCUAUUGAUUAAUAUUUUAAUUUAGUAAAUGAUUCUAGUGCGGGUCUUGAUCAAUCCAAGGCCCAUAUUUCAAAAAUUAGGGUUUUCUAAACCCUAAUUAGGUUUCCAACCCAUCACAACCCAAUUGAGCCUAGUAGCUAAGUCUUGGAUCAAUUAGGUUCAUUAGUCACAUGUUUGGGCCUUUAGGUCAAUUAGGGCUUCAUUGGGCCCAUUAGGGUUUCAUUGGGCCCAUUUUGUCCAAGCUUCCUAAACGAAUCUUACACAAGGCAAAGCACACCGCCACCUGACACGGCGGCCGGUAGUGGCAGGAGGCGGAAGCCACCACCUCUCGGUGGUGGUUAUCAGUUUUAUUUUUAUUAUUUCUUUACCAAAUCCAGCAUACAACAUGAAAUUCCAAUUAAACCCACACACACACACACACAAGGUAAACACACACACAGCUACCCUUGUGGUGGCUGGUGGUGGUAGAUGGCGGUAGCCACCACCUCACGGUGGUGGUGGUGGCGGUGACAUUCCCAGCCAACUAAACACCCACACAACACCCUCUCACUACAGAAACGAACACAAACGCACCAAAACAUACCCACAACCACCUUCCACGGUGGCUAGUGGCGACAGAUUAAGGCAUCACGGCGGCAGUGGCAUCAAUGGUGGCUAAGGGCGGCAACAAUUGGCGGUGGAUGGAGCUGGAGGGAACCAAUGAAGCGACGACAGACGGAAGGAGGAGAGAGGAGGUCACUAGCGGCUGACGGCUCAAGCAAAUGGCGUCAUUGUCGGCUGGGAACGAAAACAACACCUGCCCCGAUGUCGGACUUCAACUCCCUCGGUUCCUCUGGCGGCAACUUGAGGUGGCGCAAAACCGACGAUAGCAGCAGCAGCAGGUUCUUGAUGGCGGUUUCGGUGGUCGACGGUCUCAGUGGUGGUGGUGCAGCGCCAGAAGGCGAAAAAGGAGGAUGGUUGUCGGUGGUAGGAGGCAUAAGGAUGGAGGUGACGGCUGGGUUAUACGUUAGGGUUAGGGUUCCUUAGGUUUAUAUAACCGCCUCCAUGAAACUGAUUGCCAUAAUGACACUUAUGGCCCCUCCCUUCAGAAUUAUUUUCGAAAUAAACCCCAUAUUUAUCCUUUAAACCCCAUCUUCUGAAAUCCCUUAUAAAUAAAGUCUGAAAUUUCCCAAUCAGCCCCCCUUCUACAAAUUGUUCUCAAAUAAAGUCCAUAUGUUACCACUCAGCCCCUAAGCUUCUAAAAUCUCUUCAAUUUGAGUCCCAAUAAUUCACCAAUUAGUCCCUUCCUUCAUAAAUAUUUACGAAACUAACCUAAAACUUACAUUUUAACCCCCGACUUCUAAAAAUGUUUACAAAAUAAAUCUCAGAAUUACACUUUAAUCCCCGGAUAAUCCAAUUUAUAACAUUUGGCUCCCGAAAUUGACAUCUCACUGAAUAUAAUGGGUUUUAAGGCUACUACUCUUUCAUAAAUUAUAUCUAUUUACUUAUUAAAUAAACAAGAUGUUACAUGUUGAUCAGCAGCGGUCCAAGAUUCAUAGGCAGGAUUUCCUGAAGUCGUGUCACCAGUGGAAAGGGUUGUCAGCGGUGGAGAAUAGUUCCAUCAACGUAGCUUGUAAGUUGCUGGUAGGCCAGAAGGGGGACCAUCUGUUUGUGCCAAAGAAGGUAAUUGGUGGAAAAAAGUUUAAUAGUGAGCAUGUGGAGAACAGUAGAAAGAGGAAGAGGAGCAUCGUUAGUGGUAGAGUUACCGACCAUGAUUAUAAUCAAGAAGAGAGAAAGGAGAAUGGCGGUUAGGAAGAUUAGGCUGAUACCAUAUUAGGUUUUAGAAAUCUCACGUUAAUGUGAGAGAUGUAUAUUGAUCAAUAUAUAUAAUACAAGUAUAACAAACUUAACUAAAAUACAAGAUAUAUACAAUCUCCUAUAACUAUCUAAGAUUCAUUUAGAUCAUUCCUAUUAGUCAUCCACUUAGAUUCGUAAAUGUACAAAAGAAAACUUUAUAUAAUCAACUAAGAUUAUGCUUUACUCAUCAUGUUGUAAACUUAAUAAAAAAACAUUAUAAUAAUUUAUGUAUUCCUUAUGAUGUUCUUGGGUUCUUAGUCCUUAGAGAAGAUGAUAGUUGCAUUUAAGAUAGUAAGACAUUUAGUAGGAAGAACAAGAAAAAAUUUUCAUUAAAAAAAAUUAUCAACAUGUUCAAUAGUUACCUCUCCAAUUAGCUUGCGUUUCCCUUGUUCAUCUAGUGGAUCUCCGUUUCCACUCCUUAAACUUCCUUUUUGAUUCUUUAGAGGUUAACAAUUUCUCCACCCACAAUGGUGGAGCUUUAUAAAUACACCCUUAAACUUAAAAUCAAUCAAUAUUAAUAACAUCAUUUUAGUAUCCCUAAUAAUAGAAUAAUUUUUGUAAAAAAAUUAAUGGUUUUAAUGGAGAUUUCGCUUUACGAAUGUGACCUCAACAAAGAUGUAUUUGCAGAAUGGGAUAAUGACUUAGGAGGGUAAUAACGUUUCCUAUUUGUCCAUUUUAGGUCCAUAACAUAUUUUUUAUGCGUAUUACACCAUUAAGGUUAUUAUAACCAUUUACAAAUAGUCUUUUUAAUAGGAAGAAACCGGUAAAAAAGAUUAUUUCUAAAUGGUUAUAACAACCUUAAUGGUGUAAUACACACAAAAAAAAAUACGUUAGGGACCUAAUAUGGACAAACGGGAAACGUUAUUACCCUCCUAAGUUAUUAUCCCCGUAUGAAACUAUAAACCCCUAUGGUAAAUUUUUACUUUUUAAAUAAGAAACUUAUAGGUCUUGAGGUUGGUAUUUUGGAUGUUUUUAACCCUGACCUUCAUUAUAAAUGGAAGUGGCGGUUUCUUAAUGACAAGGGAGCUCUUUUGGUUAAAAUUGUCAAAUUUUUUCAUAGGGAAGGUGGUGGUUUUUCAGACGAUUCGAGAAUAUGAAUUAGAUGUGGUGUUUGGCAAAAGAUUGUAGGAUCCAUUAAUCACCUCCAUGAGAAUGGUUGUAUUCCUUUUAAUUCCAUGUAUAGAGUGGUGGGGGAUGGGACUCAAACGAGGUUCUAGAAGGAUGUUUGGUGAUUGGAUAUUCCUCUUAGGGAGCGGUUCUGGAGGCUCUUUGCUUUGACCUUUAAUCAAGAUGCCCGAGUAAGUGAAUAAUGGGAUUCGGGGGAUGUAAUUUUCAUUGGCGUCGGGGGAUUAGAGGAGGGGAUGAAUCGACCCAAUUUGAUUAUCUUGUGGAGAUAUUAAAUCCUAUUCGCAAAGGGGAAAUGCCGGAUAAGUGGUCUUGGGAGCUUGAAUCGCCAGGUAUCUUUAUGAUGGGUUUUGGUCAUAAGACAUCUUAUGUGCUCAUACAAACCCUAAUGCUUGGAUCUAGGUUUCUCUAUUGUACAUGCUUUGAAUCCAAGACUAUAAACCCUAAUUCUAGCAUAUGGAAAUCAGAAUACACAUGUAAUUAGGUUUAAGAACAUACCUUGAUUGUUAUAUAGCAAUAACAAUCCAAUUCCUCCUUGAAUUGACCUUGGAAAGCUGAGAGUCACAAGUGUCACUCCUCUAAUGGCUCACAAACACCAUAAGCAAGUGGAGAAGGUAUANNNNNNNNNNNNNNNNNNNNNNNNNNNNNNNNNNNNNNNNNNNNNNNNNNNNNNNNNNNNNNNNNNNNNNNNNNNNAUUAGGGUUAUCUAACAAGGAAACCCUAAUUUGGUUGCUUAAGCCCUAAGCAACCCAUAGACUCCUUUAAUCAAGCCCAUGGACGAUUUCCUUAUGGGUUUCCCCAUAGAAUUCGUCCACCUCUUGAUUCAAGGCAAUCCAUGGCCCAAAUUGCAAUUAUCCUAUAAUUACAAUUCCAGACCCUUAAGUUUAAUUAAUCUCUUUUAGUCACAAAACUAAACACCAAUUAAUUAUUGACUAAUAUUAAUUAAACAAUAUGAUUUCUCCUUUAAUAUAUUAUUCCCAUAAUAUAUUAAUAAAUCAUAUUUAAUCCUUUCUCUCCAUAAUUCAUCCUAUCAAGUUGCUUUGGUGAAGGCAACCCAAAAGGACCAUGCACCAUCGGGUCAAGUACAUACCAAAAUAGUUAUGGACUUAGACACUAAUCCAACAGUCUCCCACUUGGAUAAGUCUAAUAACUAUUCUGCGUAUGACUUCAGAUCCUGAUCUGCAAUCGUAGCUUUCCAAAGCCGCUGUCAACUCUGAUCAUAUCAGAUACGCGUGUCCUUAGAUAAGGGAUCAUAUAUUCCUCCAUUCUAGAUAUCAUAUGAGAUAUGAUUUCAAAUCAUUCUCUUUGUACUAUAUCUCGAUUUCCGAUUUAUGACGACUGACUAAUUGAACAAAUCAAAUUAGCCCUAGCCCGGCCGAGCAUUUACGUUUGUCAUCACUAAACCAUCGAGGGGCCCAAAGAUAUCGCUUUUAUCCUACUUUGGAUAAAAGGAACGGAUAAACUUUGAUACAAUGCUUGCUUGCACUCACUCACCGAAUCACACACAACAAUAUGUUUUAUAACACCAAGUUACUAGUGCGUUUACAUAUUAUCAAUGUGCAACCGAUUUGCAAGAUACAACUCACACAUCUCGGUUUCAAGAAUAUAAGAUGUUAUCGUCUCACCAAUCACUCGUGAUACAAUUCAUGGAGUGAUCCAAGUGAGCGUGGGUUUAAUCCAAUGCUCAAAUCAUAUUCAUAAGCACUCAUGAACGUUGCAGCAAACAUUUGCUUAUGUCUAAUACUCUUUUAGACAAUCCACACACCAAUUCACGACAGUCUUCAUUCAUAUCUACUUCCAACAUAUGAACGACUGUGGCCCGUUUGAAUAAUUCGAUUAUUCUUAAUAAACUCAAUUAUUCUGGAAGUCAAAACAUGCAAAUGUGAAACACAAGAAUAAUACUAAUCCCAUAUGGCCUCAAACCUUUGAGUAUAAAUAAAACACCUUUUAUUUAUCACCAUAUUGAUUACUCAUUAUUUGUCGUUUCGGUUAAUCAACUUCUUACUUGAAUUACAACACUUGUCCCAUGCUCCUAGCAUGCACACAAUGUUUACCUAUGGUUCUUACUUUGUGAAAUAGAUCACAUUGAACACAUUUCCAAUCCUUCUCAUUUCACAACUCCAAAUCCCUUUUUCAUAAGUGAAAGAAUAUCAAAUUCUUGCUACUUAUAGAAUAUGCUAGAUUCUAACAUUCUAUGCAAUGAUCCUUUCGUAAUGUCACUGCACCAAAGUCACAAAGACUAUUGCCAAUGAUAUUACAAAGUCCUCUAUCGGAGAUUGUUACAAGACAAUUCCUUAGAUAUGAUGUCUCUCACUCAAAGUACAUUCCUUUGAACAUCCUUUUGCAUAAAAGUUUCUAAUCUAGACAUAGAUUUUCAAUAUUCAAUUCCCAAUAUGGACACGCUUCCAUAUUUUCCAUAUGACAACUCAUUCUUAAUAGAAUCUUAUCUAUUC
rnacentral:lncRNA from 1 species